rnacentral:rRNA from 1 species
CUUGAUGAACGCUAGCUACAGGCUUAACACAUGCAAGUCGAGGGGCAGCAUGGUCUUAGCUUGCUAAGGCCGAUGGCGACCGGCGCACGGGUGAGUAACACGUAUCCAACCUGCCGUCUACUCUUGGACAGCCUUCUGAAAGGAAGAUUAAUACAAGAUGGCAUCAUGAGUCCGCAUGUUCACAUGAUUAAAGGUAUUCCGGUAGACGAUGGGGAUGCGUUCCAUUAGAUAGUAGGCGGGGUAACGGCCCACCUAGUCUUCGAUGGAUAGGGGUUCUGAGAGGAAGGUCCCCCACAUUGGAACUGAGACACGGUCCAAACUCCUACGGGAGGCAGCAGUGAGGAAUAUUGGUCAAUGGGCGAGAGCCUGAACCAGCCAAGUAGCGUGAAGGAUGACUACCCUAUGGGUUGUAAACUUCUUUUAUAAAGGAAUAAAGUCGGGUAUGCAUACCCGUUUGCAUGUACUUUAUGAAUAAGGAUCGGCUAACUCCGUGCCAGCAGCCGCGGUAAUACGGAGGAUCCGAGCGUUAUCCGGAUUUAUUGGGUUUAAAGGGAGCGUAGAUGGAUGUUUAAGUCAGUUGUGAAAGUUUGCGGCUCAACCGUAAAAUUGCAGUUGAUACUGGAUAUCUUGAGUGCAGUUGAGGCAGGCGGAAUUCGUGGUGUAGCGGUGAAAUGCUUAGAUAUCACGAAGAACUCCGAUUGCGAAGGCAGCCUGCUAAGCUGCAACUGACAUUGAGGCUCGAAAGUGUGGGUAUCAAACAGGAUUAGAUACCCUGGUAGUCCACACGGUAAACGAUGAAUACUCGCUGUUUGCGAUAUACGGCAAGCGGCCAAGCGAAAGCGUUAAGUAUUCCACCUGGGGAGUACGCCGGCAACGGUGAAACUCAAAGGAAUUGACGGGGGCCCGCACAAGCGGAGGAACAUGUGGUUUAAUUCGAUGAUACGCGAGGAACCUUACCCGGGCUUAAAUUGCAGAUGAAUUACGGUGAAAGCCGUAAGCCGCAAGGCAUCUGUGAAGGUGCUGCAUGGUUGUCGUCAGCUCGUGCCGUGAGGUGUCGGCUUAAGUGCCAUAACGAGCGCAACCCUUGUUGUCAGUUACUAACAGGUUCCGCUGAGGACUCUGACAAGACUGCCAUCGUAAGAUGUGAGGAAGGUGGGGAUGACGUCAAAUCAGCACGGCCCUUACGUCCGGGGCUACACACGUGUUACAAUGGGGGGUACAGAGGGCCGCUACCACGCGAGUGGAUGCCAAUCCCCAAAACCUCUCUCAGUUCGGACUGGAGUCUGCAACCCGACUCCACGAAGCUGGAUUCGCUAGUAAUCGCGCAUCAGCCACGGCGCGGUGAAUACGUUCCCGGGCCUUGUACACACCGCCCGUCAAGCCAUGGGAGCCGGGGGUACCUGAAGUGCGUAACCGCGAGGAGCGCCCUAGGGUAAAA